rnacentral:lncRNA from 1 species
AUGGGCAUCAGACUGGUCCCAGGUAGACACAUCUCCUACAGACGGUCCCUUUCCUUCAGAGAGGGGCAUCUUCUGAGGAGGGACAGAACGACCCGGGACCUGGUUUUUGUCUUCUCUCAUCACAGGGAGACCACCACUGUGUGUGGGAGAGAGAAAGGUUGCUCUUCUUGGAAAAGAUCAGAUUUAUUUGGAGAAGACAAAAAACCCACAACCCAAAGGAUGGGAUUUUACAUCUCAAGACAUCUCCCAGCAGUGUGAAAAAAUGAACAAAGAAGUGGAUUAUGCCCCAUGAAGAAGAUAAUUGCUUCUUCAGGAAAUGCAAAAGUUGUACCAAUUCCUGGAACUAAGCCAAUGCAUCUUCAACUAAUUGGACUUGCAGUUGGUCAUCUCAACUUUAAGUGUCCUAGCUUUUGGAGACUGAAAAAAUCCUUUAAUAUAUCUAACUGAAGCACAAAAAAAGGUAAAAUUAUCCUUUAAGAUUUUCAUCUGUCAUAGUCUGGACAUGAUGGCUCACUCCUAUAAUCCCAAUACUUUGGGAGGCCGAGGCAGAAAGAUCGCUUGAGGCCAGGAGUUUGAGACCAGCCUGGGCAAUAUAGAGAGACACUGUCUCUACAUAAAUCAUUUAUUUUUUUAAAAAAGAUUUUUAUCUGUCAUACAUAUAGACAUCAUUUUUGAAGAGUGAUUAUUUUUCAAAACAAACAAAAACAGCUGAAUUCAGAGACCGCCAGUUUCAUUGAUUUCACAGCCCUUACCUUGUCAGUGAGCAGGUGGUAUAAGAAGAUCUGGUCUUUGGUUAAGCUGAUGGCAAUGCCAUGUGGCAAGGGAAAAAUAUUCAUUCUUCACUGACUGCACUAUAGGAUGUACUAUGUUUGAAUCUGAAGCUAGAGGUGGAUCAACUCCUAUCUGACAAUGCUGUGGAUUGGCAUUAGUUUGAUCUUUGGAAAACCUUGAAGCCUUUGAGGAACUCUCUAAGGAAUAUACCUCUACCACUAACGAGAAAAUAGCCAAGGGGCUUAUUUCCACUAUACACUUAACCCAGAUCCCAAAAAUGCAGUUCCCUGAAGUGAAGGAUUUACUUGGUCUUACAUAGUAUGGUAAUCAGGUCUCCUAAAAUACUUGCUGAUAGUAAACUAAAAUAUCUUGGUGGGAUGUGGCUAUUUUUCAGUAAACACCAAUGGCAUUUGGCAUCCCACCAAAUGCCAUUGCUUAUCCAACAACAUUUAAAAACUUGAGUUUUGUGUAGAACUUAUUAAAGGAAAGUAACAAACAUCUGUUACUGAUUUAAAUGAUUUUUAUUACACUGUUAUUUAAAAUACGUCAAACACGGUGAUACACCAAGUAGAAUCAUCAUGCUUGCAUGCUGUGUUGCCUGGGCAAUGAGCAAACAGGGACCAGGGAUCCCCCUUUCCCUUGGGACCAGCAACUUCCUUCCUUUGAUGGCAGGGCCUGAACUAUCCUUUCCAGACCACUCCUGCAAAUAGCUGGCAUCCAUAUCCCAGCUGCUGGCACCCUGCUGGGGUUAUCUCCCCAUUGACAAGACAAUAUUUGCAUACUUCCUCUGUAAGGAGGAACUUCUGCAUGGGAAAGGGCACCUGCACUGGGACACAAGCCCCAUCGUGUAUCCAUCACGCUCUGGCUGGCCCUGGGCUUCCUCUCUAUGGAGUGAUGGGAACAUGGGUAUCUCAUUGCCUUUUCUUGUCUUAAUCCAACCUUGUUACUUUUUUUUUCUUCUCAGUAAUGCCUAUUCCUUAUGACUUUCCUUGUGGAAUUUGUCCCAAAUUCUGGUAAAUAACAGAUAGAGACCUGUUAGGACUCAGUUUUUAUGACAAACAUGAAACUAGGUAUAAAUGCUCUUAUAAGCAUGGCUCUUAACCACAAAACUAAAACAAAACUUAAAUAUAAGUAUAAAAAAAUCACAUUAAUGACCAUAAUGUAAUAUAAUAAUUGAUGUUAUAUUGGUGAAACUAAAUCAUUCAAUUUGGGCUUAAUGAAAUAAAUGAGAUAGCCUUAGUUCAACUCUUUAUUUAAUCCGUUUCUAUAUUUUAACUUGAACGAAAUUUUUAGAGAAUGCCUGUUUGGAUAAGUUUGAUGGGCAAAGUGAUAUGAAUAACUACAAGGCUUUCUCAGUUCAGGAUAAACAGACUUCAUAUUUAACCCAAAUUCUGCUGGCAAGCAAUCAUUGAAUGCCUGUUUUGAAGAGGCGUCAUAUAGUAACUUGUAAUGACUAGUUCAUCUGAAAAUAAGAUCGGCAUUGUGAUAUUAUUG